AACGAACGCUGGCGGCAUGCCUAACACAUGCAAGUCGAACGAGACCUUCGGGUCUAGUGGCGCACGGGUGCGUAACGCGUGGGAACCUGCCCUUAGGUUCGGAAUAACUCCCCGAAAGGGGUGCUAAUACCGGAUAAUGUCUUCGGACCAAAGAUUUAUCGCCUUUGGAUGGGCCCGCGUUGGAUUAGCUAGUUGGUAGGGUAAAAGCCUACCAAGGCGACGAUCCAUAGCAGGUCUGAGAGGAUGAUCAGCCACACUGGGACUGAGACACGGCCCAGACUACUACGGGAGGCAGCAGUGGGGAAUAUUGGACAAUGGGCGAAAGCCUGAUCCAGCAAUGCCGCGUGAGUGAUGAAGGCCUUAGGGUUGUAAAGCUCUUUUACCCGGGAUGAUAAUGACAGUACCGGGAGAAUAAGCGCCGGCUAACUCCGUG
rnacentral:rRNA from 1 species